AUCCUUAAAUCUGCUUUUCUACUUUGUACCAGGCUUUGGCGUCUCCAAGUACCUGACCUCAGCUCAACCUGUCUUGGGUUUUCUUCUCCUCCCUGACAUUGACAACCCAGCCCUCCUAGGCACAGAGAGAUGGAGCUGAGUGUGGUUUUCCUGAAAUAAAGCUUGCAUUAUGAGAGGGAAUAAACAGAAGAAAAAAAUAUGUCUGAGGCGCAUGGCCCCGGGAGAGGAGGAGAAUGGGACGGUGGUUCAGAUCUGCUGAUGUAGCUGUGGUCAGUCACUGGGGAGAAUAGGCCUGUGGAUUUCUGCUCCUCUGAGAUGGAUCCAUCACUGACUACUGAACUUGUUUUCUCAUUGGCUCAACUUAAGAAGGUUCUAGAGGAUCAAGGACGUGAAACAACCAAAACCAAAGAGCAGCUGGAGACCACUUGCCAGUGAUUAGCACGAGGUAAGCUGCAAAGAACUUUGAAUUAGGUCAGUCUAAAUAAUAGGGCGUUUUUCAAGUCCUUGCCUUGGGAAGAUCAGGAACACGGUGAAUAAUUGGGAUUACCUUUGUCUCACUAAGAGCCAAACCCCAGGUGUUGUAAGGCUACAAAGCUAUCUCAUUGUCUUCCUGUAUCAUCCAACGCUGAGAUCCUCUGUGACAUUUUAAAUUGCUUAUGUAGCAAAGCAAAUGGAGUACAGUAUUCAAACAUAGUUUUGUGUUUGUAGAGAACAUAAGAAGCUGAAAAUAUGAAUGGAUUCAAAGUGCAUGUAGAAAAAAAUGUGUCUGCUAUCUUUGUGAUUUGUUGCUAAGGAAAUGUUUCAUAGAGUAUUAGUACUGGACGAGCCCAAAGAAAUAAUAAUAUGAAGCCAUGUGAUAUUUGGGAUCCACUUACACUAAAAAUUAUUGUUUAUUACAUUUACAUUAUAUUAUUUGUUCUUUAUCUGAAAUCCGAAUUUA
ensembl:lncRNA novel transcript, antisense to C7orf33 and CNTNAP2